rnacentral:rRNA from 1 species
UGCAAGUCGAGCGCAGGAAAUAAACAGAACCCUUCGGGGUGAUGUUUAUGGAAUGAGCGGCGGACGGGUGAGUAACACGUGGGCAACCUGCCUGUAAGGUCGGGAUAACUCGCGGAAACGUGAGCUAAUACCGGAUAACACUUUUCAUCUCAUGGUGAGAAGAUAAAAGACGGUUUCGGCUGUCACUUACAGAUGGGCCCGCGGCGCAUUAGCUAGUUGGUGAGGUAACGGCUCACCAAGGCGACGAUGCGUAGCCGACCUGAGAGGGUGAUCGGCCACACUGGGACUGAGACACGGCCCAGACUCCUACGGGAGGCAGCAGUAGGGAAUCUUCCGCAAUGGACGAAAGUCUGACGGAGCAACGCCGCGUGAGUGAUGAAGGUUUUCGGAUCGUAAAACUCUGUUGUUAGGGAAGAACAAGUUGGGUAGUAACUGACCCAACCUUGACGGUACCUAACCAGAAAGCCACGGCUAACUACGUGCCAGCAGCCGCGGUAAUACGUAGGUGGCAAGCGUUGUCCGGAAUUAUUGGGCGUAAAGCGCUCGCAGGCGGUCUUUUAAGUCUGAUGUGAAAGCCCACGGCUUAACCGUGGAGGGUCAUUGGAAACUGGAGGACUUGAGUACAGAAGAGGAGAGUGGAAUUCCACGUGUAGCGGUGAAAUGCGUAGAGAUGUGGAGGAACACCAGUGGCGAAGGCGACUCUCUGGUCUGUAACUGACGCUGAGGAGCGAAAGCGUGGGUAGCGAACAGGAUUAGAUACCCUGGUAGUCCACGCCGUAAACGAUGAGUGCUAGGUGUUAGGGGGUUUCCGCCCCUUAGUGCUGAAGUUAACGCAUUAAGCACUCCGCCUGGGGAGUACGGCCGCAAGGCUGAAACUCAAAAGAAUUGACGGGGGCCCGCACAAGCGGUGGAGCAUGUGGUUUAUUCGAAGCAACGCGAAGAACCUUACCAGGUCUUGACAUCCUCUGAUACCUCUAGAGAUAGAGUUUCCCUUCGGGGACA